rnacentral:rRNA from 1 species
AUUGAACGCUGGCGGCAGGCCUAACACAUGCAAGUCGAGCGACCGGCGGACGGGUGAGUAAUGUCUGGGAACCUGGCUGAUGGAGGGGGAUAACUACAGGAACCGGUAGCUAAUAACGCAUACCAUCAGAUGUGCCCAGAUGGGAUUAGCUAGUAGGUGGGGUAACGGCUCACCUAGGCGACGAUCCCUAGCUGGUCUGAGAGGAAGACCAGCCACACUGGAACUGAGACACGGUCCAGACUCCUACGGGAGGCAGCAGUGGGGAAUAUUGCACAAUGGGCGCAAGCCUGAUGCAGCCAUGCCGCGUGUGUGAAGAAGGCCUUCGGGUUGUAAAGCACUUUCAGCGGGGAGGCGUUACCCGCAGAAGAAGCACCGGCUAACUCCGUGCCAGCAGCCGCGGUAAUAC